UUAUCAACCCUGAACUUGCCCUCUCUCUCUCUCUCUCUCUGCAACUGGAAACCACAAAAUCUACGAGAAUCAGAAGUUCAAAACCGAUAUAUUUCAGUUUAUCUACCUGUCUUCAAGAAUCAAAAGUUCAAAACCUAUUACCUAUAUCAAAACCCAUAUCGGCAUAUAAUUUCAGAUUGUUCAAAAAAUCUAAACCCAGAUCUUUCAGUUUCCAUCCCCCGCUGUUCGAGUUCGGGUUCGCCGUUCUUAAGCUUCAGCCGCUGGCCCGCUGUGUCUCAACUCUCAAGCUUGCCCCCCUCGGUCCUCUCUCUCUCUGCAACUGCUAUCUUAUUUAAUCCGAUGGCUACCACAUGCCUCGAGUUUUUGACAAGUCGCUCACAUGACAUUAUUGACGCUGUUGUCAGGCUGAGGUAGAUUUCCAGGUCCCUGGGGUGGGGGCAGAUUCUGACCAUCACAGUAUUUGUGGGGCUUCAUUACAGUCAAUAUCAAUUAGGUAAGAACAUAUUAGAGUUGAUGUUCUGGAAAUCAAUUUGUUAUAUACCUUUAUUUCAAUUUCUACCCUUGAAUUUCCUAUGUUGAAGCUAAAAAUUUAUGUACUUAACCAGAUAAUAUCUCAGCAUAUUUAGUGUUUGAUUAAAUGUUUGUACGAAGGUUUGUCAGAAGAAUAGAUAAAAUGCGCUCUUAUACGAA